CUAGCUUCUCAAAAGUGAUUCUGAGUCCAAAAUCACUUUUGAGCUCAGUAGAGCAUUUUGGGACGACAGAUAGAAAAUUUGAUUCUACUUCUCAGAAUCAGAAAACUGAUUUUGAAGGCUUUAGAAUCAGAAACAGAAAAAAGUUGCUUCUCCAAAACUGAUUCUAAUUUUGAAAUCAAACUUCAAAUUUUUAUUUUUAUUUUAUAUUCAAAGUAUAAAUUUAAUAUUAAAUUUAAAUUUUGAAAUCCUAAAUUCAUAUUUGAAAUUUUAAAUCUCAACUUUUCAAAUUUAAAAUUUCAAAUUUUGAUUUAAAUUUUAAAUUU
rnacentral:lncRNA from 1 species